GGUGUCUAAUACCGCAUGUGGUCUAAGGAUUAAAGCUUUAUGCGCUUUGGGAGCGGCCUGCGUAAGAUUAGCUAGUUGGUGAGGUAAUAGCUCACCAAGGCGACGAUCUUUAGCUGGUCUGAGAGGAUGAUCAGCCAGACUGGGACUGAGACACGGCCCAGACUCCUACGGGAGGCAGCAGUAGGGAAUUUUCACAAUGGACGAAAGUCUGAUGGAGCAACGCCGCGUGCAGGAUGAAGGCCCUUGGGUCGUAAACUGCUUUUAUGAGUGAAGAUUUAGACGGUAACUCAAGAAUAAGGGACGGCUAACUACGUGCCAGCAGCCGCGGUCAUACGUAGGUCCCAAGCGUUAUCCGGAAUUACUGGGCGUAAAGAGUUGUGUAGGUGGCAGUUCAAGUUAGUAGUGAAAGCGUGUGGCUCAACCACAUAUCCAUUAUUAAAACUGGACAGCUAGAGGGCGAGAGAGGUUAUUGGAAUUUCUAGUGUAGGAGUGAAAUCCGUAGAUAUUAGAAGGAACACCGAUGGCGUAGGCAGAUAACUGGCUCGCACCUGACACUCAGACACGAAAGCGUGGGGAGCGAACGGGAUUAGAUACCCCGGUAGUCCACGCCCUAAACUAUGGAUGCUAGCUGUUGGUCGUAUCGACCCGAUCAGUAGCGAAGCUAACGCGUUAAGCAUCCCGCCUGUGGAGUACGAGCGCAAGCUUAAAACAUAAAGGAAUUGACGGGCACCCGCACAAGCGGUGGAGCGUGUUGUUUAAUUCGAUGAUAAGCGAAGAACCUUACCCAGACUUGACAUCCUUGGAAGUCCAGCGAAAGCCGGAUGUGUCUUCGGAAGCCAAGUGACAGGUGUUGCAUGGCCGUCGUCAGCUCGUGUCGUGAGAUGUUAGGUUAAGUCCUUCAACGAGCGCAACCCUUAUAGUUAGUUGUAUUUUUCUAGCUAGACUGCCCUGGUAACAGGGAGGAAGGAGGGGAUGAUGUCAGGUCAGUAUUACCCUUACGUCUGGGACUACAAACACGCUACAAUGGCCGGUACAAAGGGAUGCCAACCCGCGAGGGGGAGCAAAUCCUAUCAAAGCCGGUCUCAGUUCGGAUUGCAGGCUGAAACUCGCCUGCAUGAAGCUGGAAUCGCUAGUAACGGUAAGUCAGCACAUUACCGUGAAUACGUUCCCGGGUCUUGUACACACCGCCCGUCAAGCCAUGAAAGUCGCCAAUACCCAACGUCCUAGCUAGUCUAGGCCUAAGGUAGGGGAGAUGAUUGGGGUUAAGUCGUAACAAGGUA
rnacentral:rRNA from 1 species